UGGGGAAUAUUGCACAAUGGGCGGAAGCCUGAUGCAGCGACGCCGCGUGAGGGAUGACGGCCUUCGGGUUGUAAACCUCUUUCAGUAGGGACGAAGCGUAAGUGACGGUACCUGCAGAAGAAGCACCGGCUAACUACGUGCCAGCAGCCGCGGUAAUACGUAGGGGGCUAGCGUUAUCCGGAUUUACUGGGCGUAAAGGGUGCGUAGGUGGUCUUUCAAGUCGGUGGUUAAAGGCUACGGCUCAACCGUAGUUAGCCUCCGAAACUGGAAGACUUGAGUGCAGGAGAGGAAAGUGGAAUUCCCAGUGUAGCGGUGAAAUGCGUAGAUAUUGGGAGGAACACCAGUAGCGAAGGCGGCUUUCUGGACUGCAACUGACACUGAGGCACGAAAGCGUGGGUAGCAAACAGG
rnacentral:rRNA from 1 species